rnacentral:lncRNA from 1 species
GAAUGUAUCGAAAUAAUUUUCUUUCCUUUUUUUUUGUAUUUAUAAUGUACAUCAAUGAAGAGGCUUGUUUGUUUAAUCAUUUUCAAGAAAAGAAGAGAUACGCACUUCCUUAUGUAUAAUACAAAAAAAACGUCAGGUUUCCGAGUCCCUUACGUGGCAUUUUGACGUUUCUUGAAAUUUCCAUAAAUUCUUAUCCCCACUACUGAUAAGAACAGUUGUAGAUAAAUACCGACGUGCAUGAGGACGAUCCUUCAGUUGUAAAAUAUAUACGAGAUAAGAAUAAAGAAAAACGAGAAAAUUCACUGCUGGUAUUUGCGUGGUUUAAAUAUCAAGAGCGAGUGAAAAUUUUCAAGACAAACAAGAAGCAAGUACAA